UACAGAGGGGGCAAGCGUUGUUCGGAAUUACUGGGCGUAAAGGGCGCGUAGGUGGCCUUCUAAGUUGAACGUGAAAUCCCUGGGCUCAACCCAGGAACUGCGUCCAAGACUGGGAGGCUUGAAUCCGGGAGAGGGAUGCGGAAUUCCAGGUGUAGCGGUGAAAUGCGUAGAUAUCUGGAGGAACACCGGUGGCGAAGGCGGCAUCCUGGACCGGUAUUGACGCUGAGGUGCGAAAGCGUGGGGAGCAAACAGG
rnacentral:rRNA from 1 species